rnacentral:rRNA from 1 species
GAUGAACGCUGGCGGCGUGCCUAAUACAUGCAAGUCGAGCGAAUGGAUUAAGAGCUUGCUCUUAUGAAGUUAGCGGCGGACGGGUGAGUAACACGUGGGUAACCUGCCCAUAAGACUGGGAUAACUCCGGGAAACCGGGGCUAAUACCGGAUAACAUUUUGAACCGCAUGGUUCGAAAUUGAAAGGCGGCUUCGGCUGUCACUUAUGGAUGGACCCGCGUCGCAUUAGCUAGUUGGUGAGGUAACGGCUCACCAAGGCAACGAUGCGUAGCCGACCUGAGAGGGGGAUCGGCCACACUGGGACUGGGACACGGCCCAGACUCCUACGGGAGGCAGCAGUAGGGAAUCUUCCGCAAUGGACGAAAGUCUGACGGAGCAACGCCGCGUGAGUGAUGAAGGCUUUCGGGUCGUAAAACUCUGUUGUUAGGGAAGAGCAAGUACCAUAGUAACUGAUGGUACCUUGACGGUACCUAACCAGAAAGCCACGGCUAACUACGUGCCAGCCGCCGCUGUAAGAC